rnacentral:ncRNA from 1 species
CCGCCCGCCUCGUGAUCGUCUUCUCAACCUUCGCGUGCGGGCGUGCUGAACGGAAGACCCCCGUGAGGACGUGACUCACGGGGUCUUCUG